rnacentral:rRNA from 1 species
UAGGGAAUCUUCGGCAAUGGACGAAAGUCUGACCGAGCAACGCCGCGUGAGUGAAGAAAGUUUUCGGAUCGUAAAACUCUGUUGUUAGAGAAGAACAAGGACGUUAGUAACUGAACGUCCCCUGACGGUAUCUAACCAGAAAGCCACGGCUCACUACGUGCCAGCAGCCGCGGUAAUACGUAGGUGGCAAGCGUUGUCCGGAUUUAUUGGGCGUAAAGCGAGCGAAGGCGGUUUCUUAAGUCUGAUGUGAAAGCCCCCGGCUCAACCGGGGAGGGUCAUUGGAAACUGGGAGACUUGAGUGCAGAAGAGGAGAGUGGAAUUCCAUGUGUAGCGGUGAAAUGCGUAGAUAUAUGGAGGAACACCAGUGGCGAAGGCGGCUCUCUGGUCUGUAACUGACGCUGAGGCUCGAAAGCGUGGGGAGCAAACAGG